rnacentral:lncRNA from 1 species
UGACACUCCAGAAAUGGAAUUAGAUAGAGAUAGUAACAAGUGGUUGACAUGAAGAUGCAACCCAAUAUUCCAAAAAGAAAAGUGCAGCUUAUCAAUUAUAAAGGGAACAAAAAGAAGAUCGAUUACAUAUACCAUUUAAGGAAUAGAGAAAAUGACCAAACCCCCCAGCCCUCCUAUUUUUAUCUCAAAUCUCAACUAUACACUUUUACUUUGUGGAGUCCUAUCACACCUUCGAACUAUUUUAAAGUAGAAUAAUUAUCUCCUGAAAACUGACACUCAAAUGUGUAAUGGAAAGUGAGUAACACACACUUGCCAUGCACUUCUCCGGGAUUGAAUUCUUCCCCUUUCGAUUACCCAACUCUUUUGAGGUAUUUUUAUGUAUCAACCAUGUUCUAGUUUUAGCCUUCAUUAGUUAAAAGCAGCCCACUUGACUGCUGCAUCUGUGUCUUUGUCCUUCAAUUUGCCAAACAAAACUAUUUCAAGGAAAGAGAAAAUAAUUCUGAUAUGACACACAGCGGAGAUGAAACUUGGACAUUGGACAUGCAUUCUUUAUGAUGUUUUGCUUUCCUUAGGAAUUAGGAAAUAUACCUGUUAAUAAAUAUUCAG